rnacentral:rRNA from 1 species
UCAGUAACACGUAGUCAACAUGCCCAGGGGACGUGGAUAACCUCGGGAAACUGAGGAUAAACCGCGAUAAGUCACUACUUCUGGAAUGGGUAAUGACUUAAAUCUAUAUGGCCCCUGGAUUGGACUGCGGCCGAUCAGGCUGUUGGUGAGGUAAUGGCCCACCAAACCUGUAACCGGUACGGGCUCUGAGGGGAGGAGCCCGGAGAUGGGCACUGAGACAAGGGCCCAGGCCCUAUGGGGCGCAGCAGGCGCGAAACCUCUGCAAUAGGCGAAAGCCUGACAGGGUUACUCUGAGUGAUUUCCGUUAAGGAGAUCUUUUGGCACCUCUAAAAAUGGUGCAGAAUAAGGGGUGGGCAAGUCUGGUGCCAGC